GUUCCCUCAGAACUCACAAAUUGCAUUUUGUUUUCUUUGUUUGCAUUAUUUGAUUCUACUUUUCAUUCUUGAUCUUCACAGGGUUUGACAUUCCUAAUAAAUCUUUCUUUACAUUUUAGUUAAUUGUACUUUCCCUCUUUCAUGAUUUCUGACCCAUUAGCAUGCGUAUGCUCCUACAGUGAGAAUUGCUUUUAUAUUAAAGGAAAGAGAGCUUAUUACAAUAAAUAAGACUUCUUCACUUUUUCCCCUUUAUGUUUAAGGUUGACGUUAUUUCAGUUCCCUAUAUUAGGAGGUUCUAGUGAGAAAUAUCAUACCAAUAUGUCUAUUCAGUUGAUUUCUCAGAUGCUCACUCAACUAAUAGCUAUCAUGAGAAGCCAGUUCUUGAUUACCAUCCUUUUGCCACUAUCUUUCUUUCGGGAAAAUGCAGCCCCUACCGGCUACCAGUAAUCGUCUAUAGAGAUCUCGGAUUCUGUAUCGAAUCAAUUCAACAUUUAGUUCGGUUACUUCAGCAGUCAGAAAGUCACUUUCUUUGUUGAAGGCAAUUGGAAUCAAGAAAAAAGUGACUUUCUGAGAUAAUAACUAUUAGUUGAGUAACCAUAUGAGAAAUCAAUACUAUGUCUAUUGAAAUCCAAACAUCUUCAUCAAAAUCAAUAAAGAAGGACAAUCAAUGACCAUCCUCAAUCCAAAUUAGUUGGAGUCCUUUAUAUGAAUAAGAUUUGGUGUAAUCAAGCCCAUUCCAUUCUAGGAUUAUAACUUUUCUUUUUAAGUGAAACAGUGAGUUCUCUAAAAUGAAUAAAUUAGAAUGAGAUGUGUGAGUUACGUACACCUCACGGGUUCAAACCAUGUUGCAGACAAAAUCUUGAUAUUUAAAUGGAGAAAGGUAGAGGAAAGUGCCCAUUAUCCACCGAGUUCCAACCCAGCACCAUAGUCCCUUAGAGUUUGCUAGUUAUCAAAACAAGAAGAAGAAUGACAAUAAUAAAAUCUGCCAAAGACCUUUCAUGUAUUCUUCUAAGAGAACAAGUGUGUUUAAGAAUACUUGAUGGCUUUCUUUUUGCAUAUUAUUAAGCUACGCGAACACCAUUUGAACAAAGUUCAGUCUUUUUCGUGUUUGGUGGAUUUUCUUUAUUGAAAUGUGGGAACGAUGCCUAAUAUUUUAUUGAACUCUCACUCCUCUCUUAUGUAUUGGUUUUGAAGGAGGUGAUUGCCGGAUGAAACAUCAUUUUUCGUCUUGUUUGUUUUCUUUUCUCAAUGAAUAAUUUUCUUGAUAACCACUUUGGUUUGGUGAACAUAACACAGUUCCUUAAGUGUAUGACAAUAGCUUUUAGAGAGAGACUCCGUCCUUCUAGAACCAAAGAAACCUUAACCAACAAAUCCUACAAGGAAGUUUUGGCGUAUGAGCCAACAUUGAUCAUGAUUGGGAAUUGUGGAAAGUGGAUAUCGUGCAAAAACACAGAUUCAGGUUAUCUAGGGAACACAUUUGGAGAAGGACGGAGUUCCUUAAGAUGGUGUUUGAUUGGGAGGUUUGAAAAGAGUGUGGGAUCAUCUGGUAGGUAGCCUCUUCGCUGAUGAAAGCAUUACAUGUGUUGGGUAAGGGUUAGAAGGUGGCCUGAGAGAACACAUUCUAAAAAAUAAAGCAGUUACAAGGGGGUAGUGGUUGUAACAUCACCAGCUUAGCAACCCAUCUAUGGUGUAAUGAACUGAAGCAGAGCCACAAUGGUGGCUAUGGUUCAAUAGAACCCAGUAGCAUUGGUCUGCCACAAUGGUGGCUAUGGUUCAGCAGAACCCAGUAGCAUUGGUUCAGACCUUGCAUUUAUGAUAAAUAAAUUCAUUUAAUAUAUACAAAUAAUCUAUCAAGAACCCAGUAAGAAAAAGUAAUUACGCUCUAGAAUCCAUAAACUAAAAAUCCUAGCUCCGCCUCUAGUAAUGAAUCUUAAAAAGGUGGGAAGUGUAUGUGGAUUUUUUGUUGAUGUGGAUCGUAACUUACCGGUUUUAGCUAGCUAGGGUUAGGUUGUUUGUAAAAGAAGAGGAAAGGGUGGCACUGUCUAUAUAGCAACGGAGAGGGGAAAUGACGAGAAAGGAAGAGAAAGGGAGAUGAAAAAUGAGGAGAGAUAGUUUGUUCUCAGUUAAAUCAUACUGCUAGAAAUUAUUAGUAAGAGAAGAUUCGGAUUUUUUGAACUUAUAGGUUUGGGAUCCCCAGGGCGCCUACGAACGUGUGCUUCUUUGCUUGGUUGGCUAUAAGGAAAUGAUAUUGAGAGUUGAGAACCUGAGGAAAAAGAGGAUCACUUAUUCACUCGUGUUGGCUGGUGCUUAUGAGUAAAUGUUCGAGAGAAUAUGGAGGUCACCUCCUUCUAUAUUUUCAGGUCGCAACACACUUGUCGGGUGGUCUCGGAUUCGUUUGAAUUACCAUGGGCGAUGCUAUGCACAGCGAAAGAGGCGAUAUACAGUUGGACCUUUUGAAGAAGGAAAGAAAACACAGUGUAUUGAAUGUGCCCCUCUGGCCUUCGUGUGGAUUAUGAAUAUAUCAAGGCAGAGAACUAGGAGAACAUCUGAAAGAGUUUGAGAAUGAUAUUGUACAUUUUAAGGAGUAGCCUCUUGUCCGUAACUUCUGUGGUGCACCAAUAAAUUCCUUGCUUGUAUAGAAGAUGAGGUAUCUCGAAUUAUAUUUUUGUGUAAGUUCUAUACUUUUUGGUGGAGUGCUUCUAUAUGGCAGAAAAUUACUUUAUCUCAACCAAUUUGGUUACCCAUGAGUGAUACCUUGUCGGCAUUCUUACAAGCUCAAAUUUGGUAUUAGAUUGUGUUAUAACUAAUCUAUUAUUUUUGCUGGAACUUAAAGGUUUCAUUAUAUGGAUUUUUCUUAUUUAUUUGUUACAAUAGUAAUGAUGAAUCCCCGGUUUUAGUCAAGCAAGGAGCUGAGGCUGUAAGUUAAUAAAGAUUCAGGUGCCAUUUAACAUCCCCGCAAAUGCUUGUGAGCAGAAGCUUGAACAGAAUGUAAUUUGUGUAUUUGUAAAUAUGGUUUCUAGCAAUCUUUGCACCGAUGAAUAUACUGGUUACCUUUCUCAAAAAAAGAAGAAGGGCUUCCCUGCAAAUGUUUCUAGCAUCUCUCUCCUAUCUUAGUGCAGCGAGUUUGUGUUCCGGCGUGUCUUGAAACUUUAAAGAUUACAAACCAUCAUUUACUAGUCUCUCCGUCAAUUAGGCUUUUUCCUCGGUUGUUAGCAGAGAGUUUUUGCAUCAACUUUGUGGGUUGGAGGUCCAUCGUUUGCAAAGAAAUACAGGCAUCCAACUUUAUUUCUCAAAAAAGAUUAAAAAAAAAAAAGUACAGUCGUCCAACUGUGGAAUGAAAGCUUACUCUUAAUAAUUGGGUUGGUGGAAAUGAUAUCAGUUAUCUUCUUUAGUCUCUUCAUGUCUCAGGGUUGUGUUGGUAACAAUUUUGAAUAACGAAGAAGUAGGCCAGGGGCAUGACAAAAGCAAUACUCCAUUGCUUUGUGCUAUUGACGUUGCUACACAUCUCACCUUUGAGUAUAUUGAAGGUCCCUUCGUGAAAAUAUAUUACUUGAGAUUAUUAAAGAGAAGAUGGCAGAUAUUGAAACCCUUAUUGAUGAUACUAUUGGAAAACUACAUGAUGGUGGCCUUGUCGAUGUGGAUUUGACAACAUCAAACAUGUUGAUGAGGAUUUUUGCCUCAGUACUAAUCAAAUUUGGUCUAAGCAUUACUUCAAUACUUCCAGAUGAUAAUGCAGUAGAUCUAUAUAUCCUGGAACUACUUUACUCUCUAUUCACUCUUCUUGCGAAAUCUGAUGAGCUCAGUCUUAUCACCUAUGUUAUGUGUUCUGGACAUGUUCUAGAAUGAACAUCUCCUCAAGCAUUGUCUUCUACUCUGAUGUAUACUUAAUGGAGAUACGUAAUAUCUACAUUAGAUGAUAAUCUAUUUCAGGGAAAGAGAAUAUUAAACUAUAGUAACCUUUUCAAAUAAAAUUUUCCUUUAUUCCAAGUAUUAAUGUCAUUCAAGCCAUAUAAUUCUAGGAACAUGCAGUUCUUCCAUCUAAGCAGUAUUUUUCUAGUGGUAUUAACAAUUUUCUACUUCUCUAAUAGUGCUCUUUUCUGGAAUAUGCUUGUGAUGAGUGUUUUUCUGAUAUUAGUCUAAGCCUUCUUAAGGAUUAAGGUGCGCUUAAUAAGGAUCUAAAACUUAAUUUUCAUCGCGAUUGAGUAUACAGCUUUUGCUUGCAACGACAUUCCACACUGGUGUAUUGCAACUGUGUUAUACAAUCCUCUAAUCUCUUCAUUUUUGGCAACAAACAUAUAGACAACAGUUUUAGUUUUAGUCUUUACUUGCUUGUUUAAUGGUAAGCAGAUGGACCAGAUAGUUGUUUUAUACAAGAAAUCCUCAAAGCAGUGGUCGUCAACGUUCGAGAUGCUAGCCUAAGGAGCAGCCUCUGUUCGAAUAUGUCCCUUUCAAUUUACUACCUCGUUUUCCUUAGAAAAAAUAAAUGGUGUCAAAUACCAAAUAUAUCUUAUUGUGUUUCUGCUUUGGGUUUUGUGAUAUUUCAGCGAGGCUAAGAGAUAGAAACCGUAAUAUGAUUUGUUAGCUUCCCCAGUUAGAAUUGAAUUUUGUUCUCGCUGUGCAUCGAUUGCCUUCUUUUUUUUUCAUCAAAAUAAAAAAUUAUCCUUGUAUGUUCCCUCGAAAGAGUAAGCGCCUUGUCUUUCACUACAACUUCUCAAUUGCAGAUGCCCUUAUAAUCUUAUAUGAUUAAAUCCUCAAAGCAGUUCUUUCUAUCAAUUAGAGAGGGAUGGUACUAUUUAUCCUGUCCUUUUCUUAUUUCAUGGAUUCUAGUACAACUGCGUUCUUGCACCUCUUUGUUCCCCUUCGAAGUAUUAUUCAAUAGGGUACUUGGAGAUCUUCAGAUGUACUUAAUUCAGGGUCAUCAUCUCUAAGGCAUAGCAGAUCUAAGAUAUCCUUUUCACAAAUAACAGACCAUAGUCCUGUACAGAGAUUAAAGGAAGUUACAUUUCUAUGCUCUGGGAAUUUAUUUUUCUUCGGUUGUGGAGACCACGGCUUAGCAGAACGUUUGGCCACAACUGGAGCGGACAAUGUUUUUGUGUAUGCUUGUAAACUUGCCCUGUUUGAACUUUUCUUCACACAAUUAUCCUGUUUUUGCAUUUUUACAGUACAAUUGAUCAUUAAGAGUACCUUAAUUUUUCAUGAAUAGGUUUCUAAUUGCUUUACAUUGAAUAUCAACUUUAGGGGCAGGAGAAACAGAAUGCUUGUAGCACUGACAAACGUGUGUUUGUUGCAAAGUUGAGGUUUUUAUUGUGGUUCUAACUCGUUUAGAAUUGCCCAGAAUCACUAUCAUUUUUUGUUCCUUGUGUAGUGAUCAGAAUGUCUUUUGGUUGGUAGCAUAUUUACAUUUUAUGAACCCAAGAGGUUGUACAUAAUAAAACAUGACAUUUUCCAUGCCAUGUGACUGCAUGUGAAGCGGUACAAUUGAACAACAAUUGUGGUCCUUAUAGUGCAACUAAAUGCUCUGCUAUGGUAUAUGAUUAUACUUCCAAAACAUAGGUGCACAAAACUUAUACUUUUAAUUUAAAGAGAUUUUUUCAUUUUUGGCCCGUCGUCCGGAAUUAAUUACGGGCACCAGCCAACAUAUAUAAAGAUAUACACUGAUUAUGUAAAUAGUAUGUAUAUUUAUACUUAUUAUACAAAAUGUAUAUUAUGUAUAUUAUAUGUAUAUUUAUACUUGUUAUGCAAAACAUAUACAUUUGUCGGCUAUUAUCUUUUAGAGCGGUUCAAAAAGGUAAUUAUCCCUAAUUUAAAUGCCAUUUAAGAAGGUAAAAAAUUGCUCACCAAAGAUUCAUUUUUCUUCAUUCAAUCUUUCACUUAUUUUUGUUUGCAGAUCAAUUACAAGAAAGGAAAAGAGCUCAUUCUUGAUAUACUUUUCUAUUUUUAUUUCUAAUUUCCCCUAUUAAACAUUUGAAUUCUUUUGCAACUCUCUCAAAUGUGCUGUACUGCAUGCAUAUUGUCAGGUUUCUUUGGAUUUGGUGUUCGAAUAUACAGGAAAUCAACCAAACAAAAAAAAAAAAAGAAGAAGAAGAAGCCAAAGAA